CCUACGGGAGGCUGCAGUGGGGAAUUUUGCGCAAUGCUCGUAAGAGUGACGCAGCGACGCCGCGUGAAUGACGAAGGCCUUCUGGUCGUUAAGUUCUUUCGACAGGGAAGAAAAUGCCUAUAAGUAACUGUGUAUGUAUUGACGGUACCUGUAUAAGCAGCCCCGGCUAACUCCGUGCCAGCAGCCGCGGUAAUACGGAGGGGGCUAGCGUUGUUCGGUGGGACUGGGCGUAAAGAGCACGUAGGCGGUGAUGUAAGUCAUUAGUCAAAGACUAGAGCGCAACUUUAGUAAGGCUAGUGAUACUGUAGUGCGAGAGUAUCAGAGAGGAAUGCGGAAUACGUGGUGUAGCGGUGAAAUGCGUAGAUAUCAGGAGGAAUACCGUUAGCGAAGGCGGCAAUCUGGCUGGAAACUGACGCUGAGGUGCGAAAGCGUGGGUAGCAAACAGGAUUAGAUACCCGGGUAGUC
rnacentral:rRNA from 1 species